GGCUGGAAUUUUGUGUGUAGUUUUUUUUACAAUCUCUGAAUUUUGAGUUUAUUUCAAGGUGAAAUAUUGGCUUUUUUGUUGUUGUUGUUGUUGUUGUUUNUUUCUCUUUUUUUGAGUGAAGACAAUAUUGAGAAACAAUUCAGUACAGGUAGUUCAUCUCUAAAACAAAGGCAAAUUCAGGGCUGUCAAGGAAUUUGAAAGUCCUGGGUUAAAGGAUUUUGCAAAGAUUUCUGCUGAGUAAGGGCUAUAUACCUGAGAGGGAAAGAACACUCACACAAGUGAGCUCAGAAGGUCAGAAGCUCCUGCAGAACCAAGACAGACAUGGUUGUGGUGCUGGAUUGCUGCUCAUCCUCUGCCCAUCGCUUGAUCAUUGCCACAACUGUUUCAAGAACCCACAGCUUGAUGAAUUGCUCAGUAAUGGAAAACUCUUUGAAUAGCACUGCCUUGAGAAAAAUGACAGAAGAUAAGUUAAGCCAGCCCAAGGGGAGCAGAUCUGCUUUUUGCAAGAAUACAAGGAACCAAGAUUUUCCUGCAGAAUAGAAAUGAAGGACACUGCUGUGCUCUCUCCUGCCAUGGAGACAGUAUCUGUAAGUAAGUAGUUAGACUUACUUACCCAAGUGGUUCAGUGAAGUUUAGUUAAUGCUUCUG
rnacentral:lncRNA from 1 species